CUUUAAAGCACACGCAUUGUCCAGACGAAUGCAAAUAAAAAUCUGUCUUGCCUUCUUGGAGAGUGGAAACCGGGAACAGGGAUCACAAAAGCGGCGGAAUGUUCGAAGCUCACAAAGCGAUGGAAUGUUAGAACUGGAAUCCCGUCCAACACCUUCGCGGACACUCUUGAACAUUUUUAAAACACAGUAGGCUUUUAAGCUCAAGCCAGAGUGAAUUGUAAAGGAAAUACCAUCCGUGGGGCGAACCGUCCAAAAUGCCCUGCACCAUUUACUAACUCACUGGCUCCGGGAACUCAUUACUGUCGCUGGCUCUGCCAUUAAUCCAGAAGUUUGUAUUUUGGGAAGAAACUGCAUGUGCAUAAUUGCAAAGCAACUAGGGCUGAUUAUUUCAAACCAUCUCACUCAUGUCGGAAAAGAAUUGUUAGUGACCUUUCUUUCAACUGAGGAGGAAGACAAAUAUAUAACUAGUAUUUUCCCCCUGUAUUAUUUGCAAUGGUUAGUCAUACAUACUUUCUGUGGGUUCGCACCACCUGAAGUCGAGAGAGAAGAAGAAGAUGACUUUUCUGAGUAUCCACCCCAUGUGGCAUUUGCACGAAGAUGCUUGCCUAUGCCACCAUCUUGAGGGACAAAGAAAUGAUUUCAGUAUUUCCGGUAUUUGCAGGCUGAGUUUAUCGACCCACGGGGAAAUGACAGAGCAGUAUUUUACCCUUAGGGUCUACACCCCCCAGAUGCGAUGGCUCACCAUGAAUCCACUCCUGCUCUCCGUUGCUUUCUGCAAACUGAGGCCUUGAACGGAUGGAGAAGGAAAAGUGUCGGUGGGGUGGGAGAAUUGCUGCACUCUGGAGGCCUCGCCACAUCCCUCCGUGUCAGAUUCAUGACCCACAGCGGAGGGCCAAUCUCGGGGCCUCUCCUAUUUCUGAACCGGUUCGCCUGCUCUUUGACAGCUGGGAGCUUUAGCUCCAGCUCUCUUCCGGUUGUUCAGAACUUCUCCCAGCUUCUGGAAUAAAUUUAAUUGCUGGCCCUCA